AUGGUUGCUCCUGCAAACGCUUUAGUUGAUGAGGCACAUGAGUUGGAAGACGAAGAAGUUGGGUCACAGCCACAGCAACGUUAUGUUGGCAUGCGCUUCGACACAUUAGUCGAUGCGAGGGAACACUACAAUCGCUACGCUUUGAUGGUGGGGUUUUCAAUCAAGUCGAAUACGUCUUACAGGUCAACCUACACAAGCGUACUGGAAAAACAACAGUUCUGCUAUAACAAGUUCUGCAAGCCGGUGGAGAGGGUUGGGGUCUCGGAUGUUGUCUCGUCAAGCAAACACACUACAUGCCCGAGCUCACCUGAACAAGAUGUUGAAGAGGAUGGCUAA
rnacentral:rRNA from 1 species